rnacentral:rRNA from 1 species
UACGAAGGGGGCUAGCGUUGUUCGGAAUUACUGGGCGUAAAGCGUGCGCAGGCGGUUUUGUAAGCCAGAUGUGAAAGCCCCGGGCUUAACCUGGGAAUGGCAUUUGGGACUGCAAGGCUUGAGUGCGGCAGAGGAGACUGGAAUUCCUGGUGUAGCAGUGAAAUGCGUAGAUAUCAGGAGGAAUACCGAUGGCGAAGGCAGGUCUCUGGGCUGACACUGACGCUCAUGCAC